UCUAGUGCAGUGUUCUUUAGUGUAUGCAGGAUAAAAUUUUUGGUACUAGGAGCAAAAGAUCAUCAGGAGGCAGAUAAGGAAGGAGAAUUGGUUCACCAACACCCUGAUGUGAAAAGUGACAAACCCAAACCUGGCAUAUCAGUGAAAUUCAAGAAUAGGUUAUGGGUUGUCAAGACUAUCAAAGCAAACAAAAUUCUGAAGAUGGAGGAUCCUUAGAGUUGGUGACAAGAAAAGUCUCGAGAUGUUGUUGGUGUCAUGGAGGAAGGAAGAACGCCAGCAGAAAAUAUCAACACCUACUGAUGGGUGUUUGGGCUUUAUCGGGUCAAGCUAAUGACAUUAAAAGAGCGCUUGUUGGAAGGCAACCCAGUUUCUGAAUUUUUUAUCUUUAAUUUCGUUUUGAUUUGAUUUGAUUUGAUUUGAUUUUAUUUUAUUUUUUGAUUUGAUUUGAUUUGAUUUGAUUUUAUUUGAUUUGAUUUGAUUUUAUUUAUUUUAUUUUUUUUUGGGUUAUGCGCUGCUUCUGAUGCUAGUAAUAAUAACAUCUACUAAGGGAUGCUAGAAGAAUUAGGUAUCUACUGAAGGAUACAGGAAGGUACACCUACUGAUGGGUGACGGUAAGUUUUGCACUUACUGAUGUGUGCUAGAAAGGUUUGGGUCAGGCUCGUGACGUUAAACAAGCGCUACCUGAGAGACAACCUAGUUUUCUAAACUUAUCUUUUUAAAUUAUGUUAUAUUUGC
rnacentral:lncRNA from 1 species